GCGUGAUUCUUGUGCAAUUUGAUCUGUUUAAAAGAUAAUUUAAGAUUUUUUUUUUUAUUAAUUGUACUGUGGUUUAAUUUACAUGUAUAUUAAUGAGAUCCAAAUUUCGUGGAUUUUGUGAAAAUCAGUUUAAAAGAUUUAUAAAUUUGUGGCAGCUGCCAAUGAUCCUAUCAAUAACAAUACAAUAUGUUACUAGAUAUUGCAUGUCAAUGAACAUUUAAUUUUAAAUUUGUGGAUCACAACAAAAUCCAUUUAAAAUGUUAUUCAGUAAAUAUUGAUGAAACCACAGUAUACGACAUAUCUGGGAUGAUAUCCCUACCUCCAUAUGGGUCCAACUAAAAAGAUGCACAAAUAGUACCGGUAGACUGAGGAAAUUCUGUAGUAAAAGGGAUUUUACAAACAUGAAGUUAUUGUUGGGAUGGACGUAACUUUUUCACUCAAGUUUUGUCAAGCGUGUACUAGUAUUUAUACAAAAGAUAUUCUGUAUAACCAAGUUCUCUGUACAGAUAAAUGUACAUGUACAUGUUACUGUACCUUAAUUGUUGACAGUUUUAAUUGUAUGCAUAUAUUGAUGCAAUAAAACAAACCAAAAUCUU
rnacentral:misc_RNA from 1 species